rnacentral:rRNA from 1 species
UGGGGAAUUUUGGACAAUGGGCGAAAGCCUGAUCCAGCCAUGCCGCGUGAGUGAAGAAGGCCUUCGGGUUGUAAAGCUCUUUUAGUCGGAAAGAAAGAGUUGCAAUGAAUAAUUGUGAUUUAUGACGGUACCGACAGAAAAAGCACCGGCUAACUACGUGCCAGCAGCCGCGGUAAUACGUAGGGUGCGAGCGUUAAUCGAAAUUACUGGGCGUAAAGGGUGCGCAGGCGGUCUUGCAAGUCAGAUGUGAAAGCCCCGGGCUUAACCUGGGAAUUGCGUUUGAAACUACAAGGCUAGAGUGCAGCAGAGGGGAGUGGAAUUCCAUGUGUAGCAGUGAAAUGCGUAGAGAUGUGGAAGAACACCGAUGGCGAAGGCAGCUCCCUGGGUUGACACUGACGCUCAUGCACGAAAGCGUGGGGAGCAAACA